GGAGGAAAAGAAACUAACAAGGAUUCCCCUAGUAACGGCGAGUGAAGCGGGAAGAGCUCAAAUUUAAAAUCUGGCAGGCUACGCUUGUCCGAAUUGUAAUCUCGAGAAGUGUUUUCCGCGUUGGCCUGUGUACAAGUCCCUUGGAACAGGGCGUCAUAGAGGGUGAGAAUCCCGUCCUUGACACAGACACCCAAUGCUUUGUGAUACACUCUCAAUGAGUCGAGUUGUUUGGGAAUGCAGCUCAAAAUGGGUGGUAAAUUCCAUCUAAAGCUAAAUACUGGCGAGAGACCGAUAGCGAACAAGUACCGUGAGGGAAAGAUGAAAAGCACUUUGGAAAGAGAGUCAAACAGUACGUGAAAUUGUUGAAAGGGAAACGAUUGAAGUCAGUCGUGCCUGCCUAGUCUCAGCCUUUUGGUGUACUACUAGGUCGGCAGGUCAGCAUCAGUUUGGGAGGAUUAACAAGGGAGUUAGGAAUGUGGCAACCUCGGUUGUGUUAUAGCCUAGCUUCGCAUUGAUCUUGCUGGACUGAGGAACGCAGUGCGCCCGCAAGGGUUGGUCUUCGGACACAUUCGCACUUAGGAUGCUGGCAUAAUGGCUUUAAACGAC
rnacentral:rRNA from 1 species